rnacentral:rRNA from 1 species
GUCUACGGCCAUGCUACCCUGAACAAGCCCGAUCCCAUCUGAUUUUGGAAGCUAAGCAGGGUCAGACCUCGUUAGUACUUGGAUGGGAGACCACCUAGGAAGAUCAGGUGCUGUAGAUG